UCGCAUGAUGUAUAUAAUUUAUAUUAAAAAACAUUUUGUAAAAUCAUUCUUUCUACAAUGCAUUCCACGAAUUAUCAAUCAAGAUUAUUAGUAUAUUUUUUUCUUAAUAAUCGUACUCACAAUGACCAUAGCUUGGAUCUUUAAAAACGAAUAUACCGGUAUUACUGAAAUAACAUGCUUUUUCUGUUUUUCCGUUAUAUUGGUAAUACUGAUUCAUUACAAACGAUACAUGGCUUCUAAGAUUAUCUGGCUCAAAGCAGGGACCACCCGGUUUGAUUGGUAUACAGUCAACAUGUCCAUGACCACACAGCCAAUCAAUAUUAGCUUGCAUUUGUGCAUCUGUCGCUGAUGGAGAUACCACACACCACUGACCUCUGGCACAAGCGAGAGGAAGGUCGUUGAUCGAAACGAUCGAUAGAAUGAGGAAGAUGAGUAUUGACGGCGGCCACAUAAUUCUAAUGAUAUUUUGUUUCUUGAAAAAAACUUCUUGAUGUUUAUGUAAAUUUAAACAAUUGUGCCUAUCCUCCUUAUAUAUGUUUUUAAAAUUAAUAUAUUCUUCCUCAGACUUUAAUUUUCCAUAUAUAUAAGGAAAAUAAAUUUUCAAUGUCAAAGUCAAGGGAGUCAAUAAUUUGUAAUUAAAUGUACUCCUUAAAAUAAAAUUAGUCAAAUUUAUUUUCUCACAUAAAAGUGGAAAUGAUCUAAGAAUUUAAUAGUAAUACAUCAUCAUACACAUAUCAUAUCAAGCUUCAUAUUAUUUUUUCAAUAAUUUGAAUUAAUAUUAAUAUAUUUUAAUAAAUGAAAUAUAUAAAGUUAUUUUCAUAUCAUAUACAUACACAUAAACUGAUAAACUGAUUAAUUUAAUACAAAUAAUAAUUUAUAACUUUAGUCAGAACGAGAUUAAGAAUUUUCAUGUUUUUGUUGUAACUGGUUAAUAUUACAUGAUGUCCAAUUGAAUAUAUUCUUCCUCAGACUUUAAUUUUCCAUAUAUAUAAGGAAAAUAUAUUUUCAAUGUCAAAGUAAAGUGAGUCAAUAAUUUGUAAUUAAAUGUACUCCUUAAAAUAAAAUUAGUCAAAUUGAUUUUCUCACAUAAAAGUGGAAAUGAUCUAAGAAUUUAAUAGUAAUACAUCAUCAUACAUAUAUCAAGCUUUAAUUUUUUAAUAAUUUGAAUUAAUAUAAAUAUAUUUUAAUAAAUGAAAUAUAUAAAGUCAUUUUCAUAUCAUAUAUCAUACACAUAAACUGAUUAAUUUAAAUAAUAGAAUUUAUAACUUUAGUCAGAAAGAGAUUAAGAAUUUUCAUGUUUUUGUUGUAACUGGUUAAUUUUACAUGAUGUCCAUUUGAAUAAUCCAUUUCGAGAAGAUUUAUCCUACUAAAAAAAAUUUCAAGUUAAAGGGUUUGAUUGAGGUUUUUGGCAAAUAUUAUACUAAAAUAACUAAUUUAGAUUGUUUUAAAUCAAGGGGACAAAGAAUGUGUUUUAUUUUUUGUUAUAUUUUUUUUCAAAUUUCCCAAAAAAUAUUGAACGUAGUGGAGAUGUCAUUAAGUUAAAUAUAUUGACUAAAUCUGAAAUUCUGAAUGACAAAAUACUUUAAUUUUUGUUAACCUUACAUAAUAUUUCGCAUGAUGUAUAUAAUUUAUAUUAAAAAAUAUUUCGUGAAAUCAUUCAUUCUACAAUGCAUUCCACGAAUUAUCAAUCAAGAUUAUUAGUAUAUUUUUUUCUGAAUAAUCGUACUCACACUCACCAUAGCUUGGAUCUUUAAAAACGAAUAUACCGGUAUUACUCAAAUAACAUGCUUUUUAGGUUUUUCCGUUAUAAUUGUAAUACUGAUUCAUUACAAACAAUACAUGGCUUCUAAGAUUAUCUGGCUCAAAGCAGGGACCACCCGGUUUGAUUGGUAUACAGUCAACAUGUCCAUGACCACACAACCAAUCAAUAUUAGCUUGCAUUUGUGCAUCUGUCGCCGAUGGAGAUACCACACACCACUGACCUCUUGCACGUGCGAGAGGAAGGUGGUUGAUCGAAACAAUCGAUAGAAUGAGGAAGAUGAGUAUUAAUGGCGGCCACAUAAUUCUAAUGAUAAUUUUUUUAAAAAAAAAAAAGCUUCUGGAUGUUUAUGUAAAUUUAAACAAUUGUGUCUAUCCUUAUACAUGUUUUUAAAAUUAAUAUAUUCUUUUUCAGACUUUAAUUUUCCAUAUAUAUAAGGAAAAUAUAUUUUCAAUGUCAAAGUCAAGUGAGUCAAUAAUUUGUAAUUAAAUGUACUCCUUAAAAUAAAAUUAGUCAAAUUUAUUUUCUCACAUAAAACUGGAAAUGAUCUAAGAAUUUAAUAGUAAUACAUCAUCAUACACAUAUCAUAUCAAGCUUUAAUUUUUUAAUAAUUUGAAUUAAUAUAGAUAUAUUUUAAUAAAUGAAAUAUAUAAAGUCAUUUUCAUAUCAUAUAUCAUACACAUAAACUGAUAAACUGAUUAAUUUAAUGCAAAUAAUAGAAUUUAUAACUUUAGUCAGAACGAGAUUAAGAAUUUUCAUAUUUUUGUUGUAACAGGUUAAUUUUACAUGAUGUCCAUUUGAAUAAUCCAUUUCGAGAAGAUUUAUCCUACUAAAAAAGUUUUCAAGUUAAAGGGUUAGAUUGAGGUUUUUGGCAAAUAUUAUACUAAAAUAACUAAUUUAGAUUGUUUUAAAUCAAGGGGACAAAGAAUGUGUUUUAUUAUUUGUUAUAUUUUUUUGCAAAUUUCCCAAAAAAUAUUGAACGUAGUGGAGAUAUCAUUAAGUUAAAUAUAUUGACUAAAUCUGAAAUUCUGAAUGACAAAAUACUUUAAUUUUUAUUAACCUUACAUAAUAUUUCGCAUGAUGUAUAUAAUUUAUAUUAAAAAACAUUUCGUGAAAUCAUUCAUUCUACAAUGCAUUCCACGAAUUAUCAAUCAAGAUUAUUAGUAUAUUUUUUCUUAAUAAUCGUACUCACAAUGACCAUAGCUUGGAUCUUUAAAAACGAAUAUACCGGUAUUACUGAAAUAACAUGCUUUUUCUGUUUUUCCGUUAUAUUGGUAAUACUGAUUCAUUACAAACGAUACAUGGCUUCUAAGAUUAUCUGGCUCAAAGCAGGGACCACCCGGUUUGAUUGGUAUACAGUCAACAUGUCCAUGACCACACAGCCAAUCAAUAUUAGCUUGCAUUUGUGCAUCUGUCGCCGAUGGAGAUACCACACACCACUGACCUCUGGCACAAACGAGAGGAAGGUGGUUGAUCGAAACCAUCGAUAGAAUAAGGAAGAUGAGUAUUGACGGCGGCCACAUAAUUCUAAUGAUAUUUUGUUUCUUGAAAAAAACUUCUUGAUGUUUAUGUAAAUUUAAACAAUUGUGCCUAUCCUCCUUAUAUAUGUUUUUAAAACUAAUAUAUUCUUCCUCAGACUUUAAUUUUCCAUAUAUAUAAGGAAAAUAUAUUUUCAAUGUCAAAGUCAAGGGAGUCAAUAAUUUGUAAUUAAAUGUACUCCUUAAAAUAAAAUUAGUCAAAUUUAUUUUCUCACAUAAAAGUGGAAAUGAUCUAAGAAUUUAAUAGUAAUACAUCAUCAUACACAUAUCAAGCUUUAAUUUUUUAAUAAUUUGAAUUAAUAUAGAUAUAUUUUAAUAAAUGAAAUAUAUAAAGUCAUUUUCAUAUCAUUUACUGAUAAACUGAUUAAUUUAAUACAAAUAAUAGAAUUUAUAACUUUAGUCAAAACGAGAUUAAGAAUUUUCAUGUUUUUGUUGUAACUGGUUAAUAUUACAUGAUGUCCAAUUGAAUAUAUUCUUCCUCAGACUUUAAUUUUCCAUAUAUAUAAGGAAAAUAUAUUUUCAAUGUCAAAAUCAAGUGAGUCAAUAAUUUGUAAUUAAAUGUACUCCUUAAAAUAAAAUUAGUCAAAUUGAUUUUCUCACAUAAAAGUGGAAAUGAUCUAAGAAUUUAAUAGUAAUACAUCAUCAUACACAUAUCAAGCUUCAAUUUUUUAAUAAUUUGAACUAAUAUAGAUAUAUUUUAAUAAAUGAAAUAUAUAAAGUCAUUUUCAUAUCAUAUAUCAUACACAUAAACUGAUAAACUGAUUAAUUUAAUGCAAAUAAUAGAAUUUAUAACUUUAGUCAGAACGAUAUUAAGAAUUUUCAUGUUUUUGUUGUAACUGGUUAAUUUUACAUGAUGCCCAUUUGAAUAAUCCAUUUCGAGAAGAUUUAUCCUACUAAAAAAAAUUUCAAGUUAAAGGGUUAGAUUGAGGUUUUUGGCAAAUAUUAUACUAAAAUAACUAAUUUAGAUUGUUUUAAAUCAAGGGGACAAAGAAUGUGUUUUAUUUUUUGUUAUAUUUUUGCAAAUUUCCCAAAAAAUAUUGAACGUAGUGUUGAUGUCAUUAAGUUAAAUAUAUUGAAUCUGAAAUUCUGAAUGACGAAAUACUUUAAUUUUUAUUAACCUUACAUAAUAUUUCGCAUGAUGUAAAUAAUUUAUAUUAAAAAACAUUUCGUGAAAUCAUUCAUUCUACAAUGCAUUCCACGAAUUAUCAAUCAAUAUUAUUAGUAUAUUUUUCUUAGUAAUCGUACUCACAAUGACCAUAGCUUGGAUCUUUAAAAACGAAUAUACCGGUAUUACUGAAAUAACAUGCUUUUUCGGUUUUUCCGUUAUAUUGGUAAUACUGAUUCAUUACAAACGAUACAUGAUUUCUAAGAUUAUCUGGCUCAAAGCAGGGACCACCCGGUUUGAUUGGUAUACAGUCAACAUGUCCAUGACCACACAGCCAAUCAAUAUUAGCUUGCAUUUGUGCAUCUGUCGCCGAUGGAGAUACCACACACCACUGACCUCUGGCACGUGCGAGAGGAAGGUGGUUGAUCGAAACGAUCGAUAGAAUGAGGAAUAUGAGUAUUGACGGCGGCCACAUAAUUCUAAUGAUAUUUUGUUUCUUAAAAAAAAAAUCUUGAUGUUUAUGUAAAUUUAAACAAUUGUGCCUAUCCUCCUUAUAUAUGUUUUUAAAAUUAAUAUAUUCUUCCUCAGACUUUAAUUUUCCAUAUAUAUAAGGAAAAUAUAUUUUCAAUGUCAAAGUCAAGUGAGUCAAUAAUUUGUAACUAAAUGUACUCCUUAAAAUAAAAUUAGUCAAAUUGAUUUUCUCACAUAAAAGUGGAAAUGAUCUAAGAAUUUAAUAGUAAUACAUCAUCAUACACAUAUCAUAUCAAGCUUCAUAUUAAUUUUUUAAUAAUUUGAAUUAAUAUAGAUAUAUUUUAAUAAAUGAAAUAUAUAAAGUCAUUUUCAUAUCAUAUAUCAUACACAUAAACUGAUAAACUGAUUAAUAUAAUGCAAAUAAUAGAAUUUAUAACUUUAGUCAGAACGAGAUUAAGAAUUUUUAUGUUUUGUUGUAACUGGUUAAUUUUACAUGAUGUCCAAUUGAAUAACGCAUUUCGAGAAGAUUUAUCCUACUAAAAAGGUUUUCAAGUUAAAGAGUUAGAUUGAGGUUUUUGGCAAAUAUUAUACUAAAAUAACUAAUUUAGGUUGGUUUAAAUCAUGGGGACAAAGAAUGUGAUUUUGUUUUUGCAAAUUUCCCAAAAAAUAUUGAACGUAGUGGUGAUGUCAUUAAGUUAAGUAUAUUGACUAAAUCUGAAAUUCUGAAUGACGAAAUACUUUAAUUUUUAUUAACCUUACAUAAUAUUUUUCAUGAUGUAUAUAAUUUAUAUUAAAAAAACAUUUUGUGAAAUCAUUCAUUCUACAAUGCAUUCCACGAAUUAUCAAUCAAGAUUAUUAGUAUAUUUUUUCUUAAUAAUCGUACUCACAAUCACCAUAGCUUGGAUCUUUAAAAACGAAUAUACCAGUAUUACUGAAAUAACAUGAUUUUUCGGUUUUUCCGUUAUAUUGGUAAUACUGAUUCAUUACAAACGAUACAUGGCUUCUAAGAUUAUCUGGCUCAAAGCAGGGACCACCCGGUUUGAUUGGUAUACAGUCAACAUGUCCAUGACCACACAACCAAUCAAUAUUAACUUGCAUUUGUGCAUCUGUCGCCGAUGGAGAUACCACACACCACUGACCUCUUGCACGUGCGAGAGGAAGGUGGUAGAUCGAAACGAUCGAUAGAAUGAGGAGGAUGAGUAUUAAUGGCGGCGACAUAAUUCUAAUGAUAAUAUUUUUUUGAAAAAAGCUUCUUGAUGUUUGCUUAAAUUUAAACAAUUGUGUCUAUCCUUAUACAUGUUUUUAAAAUUAAAAUAUUCUUCCUCAGACUUUAAUUUUCCAUAUAUAUAAGGAAAAUAUAUUUUCAAUGUCAAAGUCAAGUGAGUCAAUAAUUUGUAACUAAAUGUACUCCUUAAAAUAAAAUUAGUCAAAUUGAUUUUCUCACAUAAAAGUGGAAAUGAUCUAAGAAUUUAAUAGUAAUACAUCAUCAUACACAUAUCAUAUCAAGCUUUAAUUUUUUAAUAAUUUGAAUUAAUAUAGAUAUAUUUUAAUAAAUAAAAUAUAUAAAGUCAUUUUCAUAUCAUAUAUCAUACACAUAAACUGAUAAACUGAUUAAUUUAAUGCAAAUAAUAGAAUUUAUAACUUUAGUCAGAACGAGAUUAAGAAUUUUUAUGUUUUUGUUGUAACUGGUUAAUUUUACAUGAUGUCCAAUUGAAUAAUGCAUUUCGAGAAGAUUUAUCCUACUAAAAAAGUUUUCAAGUUAAAGAGUUAGAUUGAGGUUUUUGGCAAAUAUUAUACUAAAAUAACUAAUUUAGGUUGGUUUAAAUCAUGGGGACAAAGAAUGUGAUUUUGUUUUUGCAAAUUUCCCAAAAAAUAUUGAACGUAGUGGUGAUGUCAUUAAGUUAAGUAUAUUGACUAAAUCUGAAAUUCUGAAUGACGAAAUACUUUAAUUUUUAUUAACCUUACAUAAUAUUUUGCAUGAUGUAUAUAAUUUAUAUUAAAAAAACAUUUUGUGAAAUCAUUCAUUCUACAAUGCAUUCCAUGAAUUAUCAAUCAAAAUUAUUAGUAUAUUUUUUCUUAAUAAUCAUACUCACAAUCACCAUAGCUUGGAUCUUUAAAAACGAAUAUACCAGUAUUACUGAAAUAACAUGCUUUUUCGGUUUUUCCGUUAUAUUGGUAAUACUGAUUCAUUACAAACGAUACAUGGCUUCUAAGAUUAUCUGGCUCAAAGCAGGGACCACCCGGUUUGAUUGGUAUACAGUCAACAUGUCCAUGACCACACAACCAAUCAAUAUUAACUUGCAUUUGUGCAUCUGUCACCGAUGGAGAUACCACACACCACUGACCUCUUGCACGUGCGAGAGGAAGGUGGUUGAUCGAAACGAUCGAUAGAAUGAGGAAGAUG
rnacentral:lncRNA from 1 species